GGCUCAGUAACACGUGGAUAAUCUGCCCUUAGGUGGAGGAUACCCUCGGGAAACUGAGAAUAAUACUCCAUAGGUCUAGGAUGCUGGAAUGCAUCUAGACUGAAAACUCCGGUGCCUAAGGAUGAGUCUGCGGACUAUCAGGUUGUAGUCAGGGUAAAGACCUGACUAGCCUACGACGGAUACGGGUUGUGAGAGCAAUAACCCGGAGAUGAUAUCUGAMCACGAUAUCAGGCCCUACGGGGCGCAGCAGGCGCGAAAACUUCACACUGUGCGAAAGCACGAUGAGGGAAUCCCAAGUGCCAGCUCGUAAGAACUGUUUUUCUGUCUAAAUACACAGAGAGUARUAGRCUGGGUAARACGGGUGMHACCGCCGCGGGUAAUACCUGCAGCUCAAGUGGUGACCGUUAUUAWWGRCCUAAAACGUUCGUAGCCGGUUUAGUAAAUGCCUGGGGUAAAUCGUGUAGCUUAACUAUACGGAUUCCGGGGUAGYBCUAGCCUUGACGGGAGAGGCUAGRGGUACUCUGGGGGGUAGARUGGAAAUUCUGGUAUCCUGGGGGGACCACAGUGGGCGAAGGGCGUCUAGCCUAGAACGGGHWYBACGGUGAAGGGACSAAGCCCUGGGGG
rnacentral:rRNA from 1 species